rnacentral:rRNA from 1 species
UACAGAGGGUGCGAGCGUUAAUCGGAUUUACUGGGCGUAAAGCGUGCGUAGGCGGCCAUUUAAGUCGGAUGUGAAAUCCCCGAGCUCAACUUGGGAAUUGCAUUCGAUACUGGGUGGCUAGAGUAUAGGAGAGGAAGGUAGAAUUCCAGGUGUAGCGGUGAAAUGCGUAGAGAUCUGGAGGAAUACCGAUGGCGAAGGCAGCCUUCUGGCCUAAUACUGACGCUGAGGUACGAAAGCAUGGGGAGCAAACAGG